rnacentral:ncRNA from 1 species
UUGUUUGAACGGAGCCUUUACCAAAUGAUUUAGUACCGAGAAUAAUGGCGCGUUUGUGAUCCUGCAGCGCGCCGGCGACAAUUUCAGAGGCACUCGCUGAACCUUGAUUUAUCAGCACGACGAUCGGCUUGCCAUCCGUCAAAUCGCCGGGGCGGGCAUUAAAUCGCUGAUGUUCUUCUUUAUUGCGGGACCGCGUUGAGACAAUUUCGCCUUUGUCCAGGAAUGCAUCGGAAACGGCAAUCGCCUGAUCGAGAAGUCCGCCAGGGUUAUUGCGUAA